AAAAGUACCGACCGUCCCUAAAGCAAGUGGUAAAGGGCUUAGUGGCUGGUACCCGAGAUUCAAGUUCGAAUCCUAGUAGAUUCACAUUUCCAGCUAAGUUUAUUUUCUAAAUAAAAUAAACGAAGUGGGUAGCACGCUAGCUAUCUCUCAAAAAAAAAAAAAAAAAAAUACUUGAAAAGUCUAAGUUCACCGUUUAUAUUAUAUAUACUAGUCAUAUGCACGU
rnacentral:lncRNA from 1 species